AUUGGAAGAAAGAAAUGACAGGAGAGUCUCAAGAUCUGUUUUCCAUUUCCUGCUCUGUCUACUAAGGAGCCGAGUGACCUUGGGGUGAAGUGGGGCUAAUACAACUGAACCACCUAGCUUGUGGGAAGACGAUUCUGUGCUCGGUGGUAGAGUGCUUUCAAGACCAUCUGGUGCUGAGUGGUGUCAUGGCAGAAGCUGAGUGGUUCACCAGCAGUGAAUGAGAGUUCCUGUUGCUCCACAUCCUCAUCAGCACUUGGUGUUGUCAGUGUUCAGGAUUUUGGCCAUUCUAAUAGCUGUGUUAAUUGACAGCUCUGAAUCACCAGUGCUGUGAAGAUGCCAGAAGGGCCGGUGCCGUCAAACCGUAUCAGCUGGAGACGGCCUACGAUUGCCGAUGGCUGCAUUAAUGUACCUGUGCUGCGGCAGAGGUCCCUCCACCCUGCCUGGCGGCUGCAGAGACAAAUCCAGAGGAGAUGAAGGGGUGUCACUCCAGGAGACAGGUGAUUUACGUCAGAGGAUUAAACCUGUCCCUGUAUCAAGUUCAAGCUUUGCUCAAUCAAGCCAGAACCCCAUCAGCUUUAGAGAAAGCCUCUGUGCUGGAACUUUGGACCAAGAGGGAGGAGAA